UCAAUCUCAGGUGAUCAGGUCACAAUGAUGAAUUUCAGCAGUGCCAAGCUAGCCACUCCAGCAAAAGAGGAGCUUCCCUUUCUCAGGAAUUGCAACCAAGGUUCAAGAUUCACACCAUCAUCCAGCCUUGGACAUUGGCUCACCUUGGAACCAAUUUCCAUGGCCAAGGAAGGAGGUGGAUGGCUCUGAUUGGUUAGCCCAGAGCCCAGCCUUAGGGGCUGGGGAUGCAGUGCCCCACACAGAACCUCAUAGAUUAAGAGCAGUUGAAGGAUGAUGGUUACUCAGAGUAAUUCAGGAUGCUGUUACCCAAAGAAAGGAGAAUAGGUGUUGAACUGGAUGGCUGUCUGCUAACUUGUUAUUAGUCAUCUCCAAGACACAGCCUCUGUGUUGUUUUAGCCAAAACACCAUAGCCAGGUCUUUUCUGAUAAAAACAGUCCAGCCUGAUCCUGAUUCUGCACACCCAAGUCACAAGUCCAGGCAGAAGACUUCCAAAUCAAGGGAUGGCCGCAGACUUCUCCAACAGAUAAGCUGUGCAGACACGGCUUCUGCUACUUAACGUCCUCUCGGUAGCUCUCCACUGUGAUUUGCAAGGCUCGUAUUAGCCUGUCAGAAGGGAAGGAUUAACAUGUAUUUUGAUUUCUGUUGAAAACACGUUGUUUCAGAAAUAAAGUUGGCAUGGCAGGCAUCUUGGUUGAUUUAAUCUCUGACACAGGAAGUUUAUUUAUAGCAUCACAGCCUUCUGAAUGUUUAAAAACUCAAGCAUUAUAAGCCUGCUGUGCUUUUCCUGCGAAGUAUGGAACGGCACUAAAUGAAUAAUGCCACCAGGGCCAGCAGCAGAGCCGGGAUCCAGAAUCAAACACGGCUUUCAUCUGCUCCUGUCUUUAUUUUGUGCCUCAUGGAGUCUAGAUUUUUUUUCUCCAAACUGAAUAACUUCUUUCAAGAAAUGGCACCACCAUUCACCAAGU